CUUCACAUCUUUCUGUCUUCUCUUUUCCUAUAGCUGAUUUCUACAAAAGAUCCUGGAGACUCCAGGCACUGUGGUUCCAGGAACUGAAGAAAGACAGAGGAGAAAAAAGAUAGAUUUCCCAAAGGUCUUGCACUCUGCCAGAUGACAGACAGAAGCAGGUACAGGGCAGCCUGUUCCCACAGUCAGAGAUGGCUUCUUUGGAGGGACAAUCUCACCAGACACCUGGACAAGGCAUCUGGACAAAGCAUUUGGCUUUGGGUACCUGGAAUACUUUGGAAGCAGCUGAUGGCAGCAGUAGCAUCCCAGCAGUCACCCAUGACAGAGCUCCAGUGGAGAUCCAUGACAGAGACUGCUGGGGACCAGGCCACAGACCCUCCCAUGUGUCUUGUCCUGCUGAGAUGCCAGUGCCAUCAUCCACCUGCUGUCAUGGCCCCUGCCAUCACUGUGAGAAGGUUCUGCAAGAGAAACUGGAAAAGGGCUCCUUUCUCACCUGGGAAAACUCACACAAGCCUUUGAGUGAGAUAGUGGUUUAAGCACAGCCCUUGUAAUUAUCUUUUAUGCUGGAACAAAAAAAGACAGGUUUUGAUCCUUCAGACACAAAGACCACCUUAUUCCUCUCAUCUGAAAGGAGAAUAAAACCAAUCCCACAGCAGCCUGGAAAUGUUUGGCCAGAAAUCCACAUAAGAGCAAAAUUCCCUCCUCCUUGUAAAAUACAGGAUGCAAAAGUUCUUCAGGGAGGGAAGCCUAAGUCACACUCCUGUGUUCGAUUCUACAUUUACCUGCAAGGGAAGUCUGCAACCCAGUAUUUCACUGUCAGUGGCGGGAACACAUGCACAAUGUUUCAUCAGGAGAAUUCUGGCACCCUUUGGGUAUCCUAAACUUCCUGAGGCUGCCAUCUUCAGUGCAUGCAGCUACAUCUGACCAGCACACUCAGGAGUGUGCCUGGGCUCCCAGGUCUGGAUGCUCACCCCAGCUGUACCCUGACCCCAAACCCCAAGGCAGACAUGAAUUCCCUCAUUCCACUUCCCAGAGACAGGGGUGCCAGGGUGGCACGUGAGGUGUCACCCCAGCCCCAAGCACCACACAGGGGAGGGCAGCUCCAUGGUGCUGACACAAGCAUUGCCACUCCUGCCCAAAAGAGCUCACAGCCCAGGAGGGGAGAGCCCGUGGUUCCACAUGGCACACAGAUAAUGUGCUGUGUUUGUUUGUGGUGACAUUUUCCUUUAAACCUCGCACUGCUAAGCACAAAGGCCAAUGGUGAAAUAAAUCACUCGGGCACUAUAUUGAUCCUUGAAUGAUGAUUACAUAAAGAAAAAUGUAAAUGCUUUGGUGUAUUAAAUAAUCCCUCUCUGGUAACUAUUAUGCAUGCUGCAGCAAUGCCUUUAA